GAUGAACGCUGGCGGCGUGCCUAAUACAUGCAAGUCGAACGAGGUGCUUUUGUAGCAAUACGAGAGUAUCCUAGUGGCGAACGGGUGAGUAACGCGUUGGUGACCUACCCCAAAGUGUGGGAUAACAGUCCGAAAGGAUUGCUAAUACCGCAUGUGGUCAUUGGAUUUAGAAGCUGAUGACUAAAGGAGCAAUUCGCUUUGGGAGGGACCUGCGUCCCAUCAGCUAGUUGGUGAGGUAACGGCUCACCAAGGCGACGACGGGUAGGGGACCUGAGAGGGUGGCCCCCCACAAUGGAACUGAAACACGGUCCAUACACCUACGGGUGGCAGCAGUAGGGAAUAUUGCACAAUGGGCGAAAGCCUGAUGCAGCAACGCCGCGUGCACGAUGAAGGCCUUCGGGUCGUAAAGUGCUUUUCUGGGAGAUGAGAAAGGACAGUAUCCCAGGAAUAAGUCUCGGCUAACUACGUGC
rnacentral:rRNA from 1 species